rnacentral:tRNA from 1 species
UGUAAAAUGCCUGAAAAAGGGUUAUCGUGAUAGGAUAAAUCAUGUAGUUAGACUACUUUUACCA